AUGGGACGUACCAAGGUCAAUCCUAUUUGGGCUAGGAUUUGGAAACUUGCUUGUCCAGCAAAGGUUAAAAUAUUUAUUUGGCGUACACUUCACAGCACUCUUCCGUGUCGUGUUAACUUAGCUAAUAGACAUGUGAAAGUCUCGCCUGAGUGUCCUGCCUGCUCAUCUGGGCCAGAAGACAUAAAACAUCUGUUGUUUCUAUGUGAUAGAGCAAAAGAAGUCUGGGGAAGACUAGGGAUGGACGAUAUUAUCGACAGAGCUUGUAAAAUAGACUAUGCGGGUGAGGCAAUCUUGGAAUAUUUACUUUCAUUAACAGAUCAGGAACUAUGUAUUAUGAGCACUCGUAAUGUGCGUGAUAUGAUUGCCAUAUCAGCCUCGUACUUGUGGUGGGAAAGGCGCAAAUUGGUACACAAUGAGACUACUCAGAAUGCACAACAGAUAUCCAUGGGGAUACGCGCUCUCACUGCCAAUUUUGUUAAUGCCUCCUCGCCGAAGGCUUCCAUGAAAAGAGGAGGAUGGUCUAGCCCCCCGAUGGGAUUUGUUAAACUUAACAUUGAUGCUUCUUUUGACCACGACCUUCUCAGGGGUACGAUCGGGGCGGUCUUAUGAGAUGACAAAGGUAGGUUCAUCGGUGGGCGAAAUGGUAAGAUUGACUGGUGUGCAGAUGUGUUGAUGGCUGAAGCUUUGGCGUUAAAGUUUGGCCUAUCGCUUGCGCAAAGGACGGGUUGUAACCGCAUAAUUAUUAACUCGGAUAAUAUGGAGGUGAUCGAGACCAUGAACAAAGGAGGAUGA
rnacentral:rRNA from 1 species